rnacentral:rRNA from 1 species
UGCAGUCGAACGGUAACAGGGAGCUUGCUCCGCUGACGAGUGGCGAACGGGUGAGUAAUGCGUCGGAACGUGCCGAGUAGUGGGGGAUAACUAUCCGAAAGGAUAGCUAAUACCGCAUACGCUUUGAGAAGGAAAGCAGGGGAUCGUAAGACCUUGCGCUAUUCGAGCGGCCGACGUCUGAUUAGCUAGUUGGUGAGGUAAGAGCUCACCAAGGCGACGAUCAGUAGCGGGUCUGAGAGGAUGAUCCGCCACACUGGGACUGAGACACGGCCCAGACUCCUAUGGGAGGCAGCAGUGGGGAAUUUUGGACAAUGGGCGCAAGCCUGAUCCAGCCAUGCCGCGUGUCUGAAGAAGGCCUUCGGGUUGUAAAGGACUUUUGUCAGGGAGGAAAUCCCUAAGGUUAAUACCCUUGGGGGAUGACAGUACCUGAAGAAUAAGCACCGGCUAACUACGUGCCAGCAGCCGCGGUAAUACGUAGGGUGCAAGCGUUAAUCGGAAUUACUGGGCGUAAAGCGUGCGCAGGCGGUUGUGUAAGUCUGAUGUGAAAGCCCCGGGCUCAACCUGGGAACUGCAUUGGAGACUGCACGGCUAGAGUGCGUCAGAGGGGGGUAGAAUUCCGCGUGUAGCAGUGAAAUGCGUAGAGAUGCGGAGGAAUACCGAUGGCGAAGGCAGCCCCCUGGGAUGACACUGACGCUCAUGCACGAAAGCGUGGGGAGCAAACAGGAUUAGAUACCCUGGUAGUCCACGCCCUAAACGAUGUCAACUAGCUGUUGGGGGUUUGAAUCCUUGGUAGCGUAGCUAACGCGAGAAGUGA